GCAAGGGUAGCGAAGAGGGAAAGAGAGAAAGAGAGAAGCCGAAUUAGAUGGCAACAGGAAAGAGGAGAUAGGUUGUUGCCGUUCGACGAAGAGAGAACAAACGAGGAAAGGAAGAAAGACGGGGGCGACGGGCGGCGAAGGGUGAGGGUGCAACAGAGACAGAAGGAGAGAAUAGGAUAGAGAGGGUGGCAAAACGGGUGGAAGGGUAAAGAGAGCGGAGGGAUGGAGACCGUGAGAGCGUGAGAGGAUAGCGAUUGUGCUACAGUCGCACCGCGACACCCCCACGAGUGAAACCGCGCGCGUGCCAAUCUGUCCCCUUAGCCGUACACACGAAAAGGGCCCGCGAACAGUGCUAUGCUUUUAACGCUACGGCCAAGGAUUUCGUCGUUCUCGUUUUUGUCGUACCUCAAACGCGACUUCGUCUCUCCAAACGCUUCCUCGAAUGUAUCUCGGAGCAGCUUUUAAUCGGAUCCCAGUGAUUACUUCAGCCGUGGUAAUUGGAACGAUUAUACCUGAUGGAUACGAUUGAGCACGCUUCACAGCGUCGUGCUCCUUUUCCAUAGAAAAUGGAACGAAUUUUCUCUUCGAUGCUUUUAACGGGCAAAAUGCUUUCAGGACGCUCUGUUUUAUAUGUACAUUUUCCUUCGUCUUUUUCCACAUCAACGUAGUUUUACAGAUUCAGA